rnacentral:rRNA from 1 species
UACGUAGGGUGCAAGCGUUGUCCGGAAUUAUUGGGCGUAAAGAGCUCGUAGGCGGUUCGUCGCGUCGGCUGUGAAAACCUGAGGCUCAACCUCAGGCCUGCAGUCGAUACGGGCGGACUUGAGUACUGCAGGGGAGACUGGAAUUCCUGGUGUAGCGGUGAAAUGCGCAGAUAUCAGGAGGAACACCGAUAGCGAAGGCAGCUCUCUAAGCAGACAUUGACGCUGAGGCACGAAAGCGUGGGGAUCAAACAGG